GAUAGGUCCAAAUUAGGUGUGCUCGAGGAGGGGUAAGUGCAUUUUUCGGAAAAAUAAAGAGAGAAGGAAAAAGAGAAGGAAGAGCAUUGAGGGCCUGAGCCGAACGAAUUUCACUGUUCGCUCGGUCGUUGUUCGAUCUCGGAACAGGGCUAUACUCGAACCAGAAUUUCCUGUAAACGGGUUUGGUACCGAUUCGUACUCGGGCAUGUCAUGUGUGGCCUAUCAGAAACCGUAAUUCCAGCUCGGAAAUCUCGCCGCUCGUGAAAUUCUUGUGAAUUCCGUGCUCCCGUUGAAGGUCGGAGAAGAAGACCUCCGAUCCGAGAAAUGAUAACCCGGUCCAAACUCGCCGAGCAACUCAGAGACUACCAGAUCCGAUCCCAGCACAAGUGUCCCGCUCUCACUGUCUUCUCUCCCAAACCCCAUAUCACUUCCUGGGUUGAUGUCGCCAUGGCGAUCUUUUGGGCUUUAGUGUUUAGCGUGCUUGUGGUGUCAUCCUAUGUGUCCUUGUACUUCAGUCACUUUUGGCUCUCUUUUGUGAUUAUCUGCCUCGGUAUCUUUCUUCCGGUACGCCUAAGAAUAUCUAGGCACGCACUGGCCAGGAAGAAGGAGGGAAGAUUGUUGUUACCAUUAUCCAUGUGAACAUCUAUGGCAGUGAAAUCAUGCAGCCAUGUGCUUUAUCUGGGAAUGACUCAUUGCUCACCUUCGAUUCAUUUGCUCUCGCUAGAAUGUAUUAGACACUUGGGUACCGAUUUGGUGAAAACGGCUCUUGCCUGCUGCUUUUCAAGAUAGAUGGUAUGAUUCUUUUUUGUCCUUUAACCCACACACAAAGGCAUGAGAAUUUGCCAAACACAAUCACAUGUAAACACCAUACAUUUUGAGCAUAGAUAAAAGACAACUUUCUAUU